rnacentral:rRNA from 1 species
CUACGGGGUGCUCCAGUGGGGAAUAUUGCACAAUGGAGGAAACUCUGAUGCAGCAACGCCGCGUGGGGGAUGACCCUUUUCGGAGCGUAAACUCCUUUUAUAUAGGAAGAAGAUGACGGUACUAUAUGAAUAAGCGCCGGCUAACUCCGUGCCAGCAGCCGCGGUAAUACGGAGGGCGCAAGCGUUACUCGGAAUCACUGGGCGUAAAGAGCGUGUAGGCGGAUUAAAAAGUCAGAAGUGAAAUCCUAUAGCUUAACUAUAGAACUGCUUCUGAAACUCUUAAUCUAGAAUAUGGGAGAGGUAGAUGGAAUUUCUGGUGUAGGUGUAAAAUCCGUAGAGAUCAGAAGGAAUACCGAUUGCGAAGGCGAUCUACUAGAACAUUAUUGACGCUGAGACGCGAAAGCGUGGGGAGCAAACAGGAUUAGAUACCCGAGUAGUC